GAUGAAGAACGUAGCGAAAUGCGAUACGUAAUGUGAAUUGCAGAAUUCAGUGAAUCAUCGAGUCUUUGAACGCACAUUGCGCCCCCUGGUAUUCCGGGGGGCAUGCCUGUCCGAGCGUCAUUGCUGCCCUCAAGCACGGCUUGUGUGUUGGGCCUCCGUCCUCCUCCCGGGGGACGGGCCCGAAAGGCAGCGCCGGCACCGCGUCCGGUCCUCGAGCGUAUGGGGCUUCGUCACCCGCUCUUGUAGGCCCGGCCGGCGCUUGCCGACACAUCAAUCUUUUUUCCAGGUUGACCUCGGAUCAGGUAGGGAUACCCGCUGAACUUAAGCAUAUCAAUAAGCGGAGGA
rnacentral:misc_RNA from 1 species